CAAGGAUCUUAAUUAGGGUGGAUCAUGUUACCCUGUAGACCAAGGUUCUUAAUCAGGGUGGGUCGCAUUACCCUGUAGACCAAGGAUCUUAAUCAGGGUGGGUCACAUUACCCUGUAGACCAAGGAUCUUAAUUAGGGUGGAUCAUGUUACCCUGUAGACCAAGAAUCUCAAACAGGGUGGGUCACAUUACCCUGUAGACCAUGGUUCCUAAUCAGGGUGUGCCAUGUUAGAUUGGUGGACAUGUAUGGACUCAAUUUGACCAUGUUAUCUGAAGCAUUCACCAUUCCUUAAAAAGGUUACAAGUAAAUGCAUAAUGACUAGCAGUCAAGAGGAUGACAAAAUUGAUGAUUAAAUGAAUAGUCAAAAAACUA